rnacentral:tRNA from 1 species
CAAAAUGUAGCUUAAUUAAAACAUCCCGCUUACACCGUGACCAUAUCUGUGAAACUCAGAUCAUUUUGA